UUUAAAGUUCACCCGACAAGCGCAAGAACAGAAGCAAGCUUUCCUUUGUGGACGACCGCCUCAUCCAGCUCUCCUCCGCGAGCCGUUUUCACUCAGGACCUAAAGUUCUAACGUCUCCUCAGAAUGGGUGUCAAGAUGCUCCAAUGUUUCCCCUUCUACAGACACUGCAAAGAGCGAUGCAAAAGCAAAGGGUUGCCCUCAGAGACUGAUGAGCGUAAAACCCGCCUGGGCUCCACCACGUCCUGGGGCAGCGACAGCUUGACUCGGGGCCCCCACAUCUAUUUCUCCUCCAAAGCCAGAAUGUCUUUUCGACACCAGCUGGACAGCAACGUCAACGCCGUGGACGCCACCGACUAAGAACCAGCUAUUUUUGAAUAUCUGAGGAGCUUCCUCAGAAGGGACAAAACAGGAGUUUUCUUUUUCUUCUUUUUUAAUACGGUUAAUACGGUGCCUUGAGACGCGAGUGAGCUGACUUUUGAGAUGGUAGCAGAUUUAUUUGCUUUGAGAUACAAGGCAAUGAACUCAACAAAUCUUCGGUCACGUAACUUUGCCUUAUACAUAGACCGGCAUAGCGUCAAAAGAAUAUACUUAUCUGCUGUUAAAACGAUUGCAAAAAGCUGUUGACAUUCAUUCAUGUGUGACAGGCGUUUAACCCCUUCAUGCCUGGAUUUACAUUGAAAAAUAACUCAUAAGUACAUAAAAAUAGUACAGUGGUACCUCUACUUAAGAACGUCUCUAUAUACAGAAUUUUCAGGUUAAGACACACCUCAACGGGAAAGUAUUGCCUCUUGUUAAGAAAGAAAUUUCAGGAUACAAAAGGCAACAAUACAGUACGGUUGGUACUUCCAGUUUACUGAACGUAACAUAUACUUAUAGCGCUCUGCCAUUAGCUCUUGCCUAAGCGGGACCUCCACUGUAUGUGUGUAUCCCACCAUCCUCUUCAUUCGCCCCUCUUGUUCCGACAGCUUUACAUGAGUGUAUUAACUUUGAUUAUUUACUCAAUUCUUGUUUUUUUUACAUUACUAUGUACAACUGAGUCACAUUUUAUGUUUAUUAUGCAAUACAGGUAGAAUUGUAGACGUACUCGACAUACGUGAUUUCGACUUCACGCCGGAGUCUCAUCCGCCAUUUUGUCUCCAGUCUUUUUUUUUUUUUUUUGUCGCGUAACAGUGUCUCUUCUGCCAUUUUUUCGCCAGUCACAAUCUUAUUUUUUUACUCUAUUUUAUUAAUAUGAUGUAUAAUACAUGUUUUUGGAUAGUUAUUUUGAGAUUUAUGGGGUAUUUGGGGGUACUUAAAGGGUUAAUUCCGACUCACGCAGAAGAACAAAACUCGUUUGUAAGUCGGGGACUACCUGUAUACAUCAAAAAGCAUAUAUAAGUACACGAAAUUGAAAAAUACAACUAAAAAUUGGAAAAUACAACAUUUUUUAAAAAAUUCAAAUUAUUUUUAAAAAUUAAAAACUAUAGUAACAAGUUUAUUAAUAAAUUCCUACUUUUUAAAAAUGUAAAUGAAUUAUUUCCGCUUUUCAAAAUAUAAUUUUGCAUUUUGAUUUCUAUAUUUACGUUUAUUGAUUCAAAGCAACACUCGGUAACUAUUCAGUUUUGGCUGAUUUUAGCGACGCCGGUGGACAAAAGCGGUAGUGUUUUGCCUUAAGGAAAACGCACACCCGCACAGUGUCGUAAAAUCAUGAUCUCCCGGUUGCCUGCAGAUGGAUUAAAUGACAUUUCUGUUUCCCGCCGCUGUGUGAAGGAUGUAUAGGAAUAAGCUUAUAAAUGUUUGAAUAAGGUUAUAGAUGGACGUUUGAACACCAAUCGUUUAGUGUCGACUGUUUUAUUGUUUGCGCCUAAAAAAAUAAAAAAUAAACGAGACUCCGGCGUCAUGUAGUCGAAAUUGCGUAAAUCGGGUAUGUCGUAACCGGGGGACUACCUGUAUUUCGUCAAUGUAAAUUCAGCCAUCAUUGGUUUAAUCUUGGUAACAGCAUUGGCAUAUAUGUGAUACUAUUUACAUUUUAUUUACAUGCUUUUUCAGAAUGAAACAUUCCGCCUGGUCGGGUUGUCAAAGUAUCGUAUCCGGAUACGAUAUUUGAUUGCAAAAGUAUUGAUACGCCGUCAUUUGUUUUUGCACUACCAACAGGAAUAUGUUGUCAUUGGGUAGAUUUCAUUUUGCACUAUUCUUGAUAGUAAUGGAGGAUAUUUUUGCAUUUUGCUCGUUAACCCAUUGGCUGCCAUUGACGAUAGCGGACGUUCGCUGAUGGCCAUCCCACUUCAAAUGGAUUGGAUUUCUACUCAUAGACUUCACUAUCAGGGCCGCUCCGUAGGGGGCCUAUUUUCAAAAACUUCUGAAUCCAGAUUAUUUUACAUCUAAAUAUUUAAAAAAAACUUAAAAUGGCUAUUUAAUUCUCAGACAUUUACGCUAGAUGCACAAAUAUCACCAGAUCCAGAGAUAAUCCCUAGGACUGCAGCUAUCUGUUAUUUUAGUAGUCAAUUAAUCGAUGAACUUGUUAGUUCGAAUAAUCGAGUAAUCAGAUAAGGAACAUUAAAAAUCAAAAUACCUGAGCCCCAAACGGUAUGAAAAAAAAUUAGAAUCUAAGUACCAUAAUUUUUGGACUAUAAGCCGCUACUUUUUUCCUUCAUUUUGAAUCAUGCGGCUUAUAGUCCAGUGUGGCUUAUUUGUUGAUUUAUUUGGUUUAAUAGGUAACACUUUUUUUGACAGCGGCGUCAUAACACAGUUAUAAUUAUGACAUGACACUAUCAUGGGCAUUACUGAAUGCUUAUGACAGAUGUCAUUAAGUGUCAUCGGGCAAAUUAUGUCACAAACUCGAUUUAUGUCCAGCACGGCUCUUUUACAUCCAUUCAAAACGGAGAUAAUUUGGCAGAUAACACUUAAUGAAAUCUGUUAUCAGCAUUUAUUAACGCUCAUGACAAUGUCAUAUCAUAAUUUUGAUUGUCUAAUGACAGUCUUAUGGCGCCACUGUCAAAUAAAGUGUUACCAAAUACCAUCAUUAGCAAUUAAUGAGACGACAAGAAGAGUAACUGAAGAAAUAAUUGGCGCAGAACAUGAAUUUUGAUUGUUAUUUACAUCUGUAGCGCUGCAAUGCAUGCUAGGAGGCAUGUUGGGCAACAACAGUAUUGACAGCAGGUGGCAGCAAAACUGGACUGUCUCCCCCAAGGGAGCAGUGAUGGCCAAAUGAAGCUUCUUGAAGCAAUGAAGCUUUGAACCAAUUGGCUGCAAAUGGUGGUUCAUUUGGUCUUAUGACAGUCGUAUGAUGCCGCUGUCAAAUAAAGUGUUACCGGUGAAUAUCUUUUGAUGUAAAUAUCCCAUAAUACAGUUAGGACGGCUGCGGCUUAUAGUCCAGUGCGGCUUAUCUAUGAACAAAUGUCGUUUUCGUGUCAAAUUUGGUGGGUGGCGGCUUGUAGUCAGGUGCGCCUUAUAGUGCGAAAAUUACGGUACAACAAAAAAACAAUUUGCUAACUUACAUAGCAAAAGUCCGCUAGCAUAAAUGCUAUAAAAUGCUAAUUUUUUUAUUUUUUAUUUUUUAUUUUUUUUACAAUGCUCUCGACAAAUGGUUCAAACACAAAUUCCCACAAAAAUGGCUAACUAUACCUAUAAACUGAAUUACGAACGCAUUAAAAAAACAUUACCUCAAACAAAAACUUAUGUUGGUCUUAACAGGGAGCAGUUGGAUUCUACCAUGUGAAAUGAGUUAUGUCAUAUUCACUGUCACCACUAAAGGGCAGUGUAUCCACCUAAUUCCACAAAACCAAAUAGAAACACUUUCAAAAUAAACCAUUACAUCGCCACCUGAAUUGAACGAACACUCGAAGCAGCAAAAUUAAUUUGAAUCCAUUUUCUAAUCAAAUUACUCAAGUUAAUCGAUUAAUCGUUGCAGCACUAAUAAUCACCUAUAUUUUCAGGAUCAUUUGCAAUAUUUAACAUAUCAUAUAAGCUUUUGCCUGAAAUACCGAUUUUUAUGCACUAAAACUUUCGUCCUGUUUCCACCUAAAUCCGGCGUUAGAACGCAGCGUGUUUCAGUUUAUCGCAGUGAAAGCUUCCAUGACGCUCUACCUGACCAGGCCCCCGACGGGAAGCCGUGGCGCAAUGUCUGUAGGAGCUGUCUCGUCAACUGAUAGUGAAGUCUAUGGUCUACUCAUGAUAAACUCAUUUAAAUGCUAAUGUUUUCAUAGCCACAUGAUUGGACGUCUAUUACCGUCAAUGGCGCCGAAAGAUUUCAUAGCAAUUGCACGUCCCUGACUAAAGUUUGUGCUUCAAAACAUUCCUUGAACAUGAGAAGCAAUGACAUCGGAUGCUUAUUGAUCGCCACGGAAUGCUGAUAAGGCAACUUAGCAUGCGUCGUUAGCUAAACGUUUGUCAGCCUUUAUCCAAAUACAUGGAUUGGCCAUGCUUUUUUUGAAAGUUAGCAGAAGAAAAAUCCCAUGUCGGGGUGCAAAGUUUGAAACGUUCUAAGAAAAUUGAGGUGGAAUAAACCAGAAAUUUCUGAAAACUGAUUUUCUGAUCUGAAUAGCAACUUAAGUGUUAGCAUGCAAGUAGAGCUGAAUAACCCACCUAGCGCGAUGCUAACUGCAGCGCUAGUUGUAACUUUCUCUUUUGGUGGCUCUCACGAGCUCAAAUCGACGAUGACGUGCUCCCAGAUGUGCGUGUUCCCCUUGAAGCUGGACGUGAAGACAAAGUCCUGGCGGUCGGUGGACACGGCGGUGAAGGAUCGCGGCGCCUGGAUGUAGACCUCCUUGAAGCGCUCGAAGACGCCUUGUUCUGCGUCCCAGAGGAAGAUCUGCGAGAAGGUGUAGUCGCUCCCCAGGGCCAGAUAGUGGCGGUCCUUGAAGGAGAACGGCUGGAGGAUCAUAGCGCCUCUUGACGGUAGCGCCUGGAUCUCCGAGAACUGUUUGGCGCCCCAGUGCAGAACUUUGGAGUCUCCGAUGUAACGCGUCAGGGCGAGGUAGAGCUCAUCCUUGAUGCGGAAGUGCUUGACGGCCACCGCGUCCUCCGUGUUGGGGAUUUCGCCAAAGAGCGCAAACUUCUGGUUGCUCCGGCUCCACUGGUAGAUAACCGGAACCUGGGAACGGCUAGCCAGGAUCAGGUGUGCUUUUCCAUCCAAGUCCAAGAACUCGGCGUCCGUGUCGCGGUACCACUCGUGAAGGGACUGGUAGGAAUAAAAGCCGUUCUCGUUCCACUUGUAGAGAGUGGACAGACCUGCUUUGGAGCUGUCGGCGAUGACGAAGAAUCGUUCGGCGCCGAUCCGGAACACCUCGAUGUCGUUGGGCUUGGAGAUUUUGGACACCUCGAUGUCCUGGAAUUUGGUGAAGGUGCUCUGGUCCUCAUCAAACUUGUAGAUGUGCGAGCCGCCGAAGAGCUGAGCCACGAUGAUGAACACCUGGUCCUCGAUGACCAUCGAGUUGCACCCCACGAUAGACUGACCUAAAAGUAGGAGUGGGAACCUCUUGGUACCUCACAAACAACUAAUUAACAGAAAAACAAGCUUCUAGUGUGAAUUGGAAUUAGUUUAUCACUAGUAGAUCACUAGUUUAUCACAAGUAGACGUCCAAUCCAUUUGAACUGGGAGGGUGGCAGGGAAUGAACAUUCGUUCAUUCGCUGCCAUCCCUCCCACUUCAAACGGAUUGAACGUCUAUGUCUGUCAGUGGCAGUCAAUGCCAGGCAAUUAGGUCAUUUUGGGCCAUUUUAGGUCUAACUGGAACAGCACCAAACAAAAGUUCCAGCAUCAUCACCCUGUCCAAUGCAGAUUCUUGACUCUUGACAAGGUGAUGAAGCUGGAACUUUUGUUUGGUGGCGUUCCAAUGAG